AGAGUUUGAUCAUGGCUCAGAAUCAACGCUGGCGGCGUGCCUAACACAUGCAAGUCGAACGCGAAAGUCCCGCAAGGGAUUAGUAGAGUGGCAAACGGGUGAGUAACACGUGGGUGACCUGCCUUCGAGCGGGGGAUAACGUCCCGAAAGGGACGCUAAUACCGCAUAACAUCCUGCCUUUUAAGAGGUGGAGAUCAAAGCCGGGGAUCGCAAGACCUGGCACUUGAAGAGGGGCCCGCGCCUGAUUAGCUAGUUGGUGGGGUAAUGGCCUACCAAGGCAACGAUCAGUAUCCGGCCUGAGAGGGCGGACGGACACACUGGGACUGAGACACGGCCCAGACUCCUACGGGAGGCAGCAGUGGGGAAUUGUUCGCAAUGGGCGCAAGCCUGACGACGCAACGCCGCGUGGAGGAUGAAGACCUUCGGGUCGUAAACUCCUUUCGAUCGAGACGAAUGUUUUUCGGGUGAAUACUCCGGAAAAGUGACGGUACCGAGAGAAGAAGCCCCGGCUAACUCUGUGCCAGCAGCCGCGGUAAUACAGGGGGGGCAAGCGUUGUUCGGAAUUACUGGGCGUAAAGGGCUCGUAGGUGGCCAACUAAGUCAGACGUGAAAUCCCUCAGCUUAACUGGGGAACUGCGUCUGAUACUGGAUGGCUUGAGUUUGGGAGAGGGAUGCGGAAUUCCAGGUGUAGCGGUGAAAUGCGUAGAUAUCUGGAGGAACACCGGUGGCGAAGGCGGCAUCCUGGACCAACACUGACACUGAGGAGCGAAAGCCAGGGGAGCAAACGGGAUUAGAUACCCCCGUAGUCC
rnacentral:rRNA from 1 species